rnacentral:rRNA from 1 species
UACGGGGGGGAGCAAGCGUUGUUCGGAUUUACUGGGCGUAAAGGGCGCGUAGGCGGCCACGCAAGUCGACUGUGAAAUCUCCGGGCUUAACCCGGAAAGGUCAGCCGAUACUGCGGGGCUAGAGUGCAGAAGGGGCAACUGGAAUUCUCGGUGUAGCGGUGAAAUGCGUAGAUAUCGAGAGGAACACCUGCGGCGAAGGCGGGUUGCUGGGCUGACACGUGACGCUGAGGCGCGAAAGCUAGGGGAGCGAACGGG